UACAGAGGGGGCAAGCGUUAUUCGGAAUCACUGGGCUUAAAGCGCGUGUAGGCGGGCCGGCACGUCGGUCGCUGAAAUCCCCCGGCUCAACCGGGGAAGGGGCGCCGAUACGACCGGCCUGGAGGGGCGUAGGGGGACCUGGAACUUCCGGUGGAGCGGUGAAAUGCGUUGAGAUCGGAAGGAACGCCCGUGGCGAAAGCGAGGUCCUGGACGCCUACUGACGCUGAGACGCGAAAGCCAGGGGAGCGAACGGG
rnacentral:rRNA from 1 species